AUCGCUUCUCGGCCUUUUGGCUAAGAUCAAGUGUAGUAUCUGUUCUUAUCAGUUUAAUUUUUUAUUACUUUUACUACUUUGUAAUGAUAUAAUAUUCCAU
rnacentral:snRNA from 1 species